rnacentral:rRNA from 1 species
GUGGCGGGCGAACGGCCCACCAGGCGACGAUGUCUAGGGGUUCUGAGAGGAAGGUCCCCCACACUGGUACUGAGACACGGACCAGACUCCUACGGAAGGCAGCAG